UGGGGAAUAUUGCACAAUGGGCGCAAGCCUGAUGCAGCCAUGCCGCGUGUAUGAAGAAGGCCUUCGGGUUGUAAAGUACUUUCAGUCGGGAGGAAGGUGGUAAGGUUAAUAACCUUAUCAAUUGACGUUACCGACAGAAGAAGCACCGGCUAACUCCGUGCCAGCAGCCGCGGUAAUACGGAGGGUGCAAGCGUUAAUCGGAAUUACUGGGCGUAAAGCGCACGCAGGCGGUUGAUUGAGUCAGAUGUGAAAUCCCCGGGCUUAACCCGGGAAUUGCAUCUGAUACUGGUCAGCUAGAGUCUUGUAGAGGGGGGUAGAAUUCCAUGUGUAGCGGUGAAAUGCGUAGAGAUCUGGAGGAAUACCGGUGGCGAAGGCGGCCCCCUGUACGAAGACUGACGCUCAGGUGCGAAAGCGUGGGGAGCAAACAGG
rnacentral:rRNA from 1 species